GUUUCAGCAGCCGCGGUAAUACGUAGGGGGCUAGCGUUGUCCGGAUUUAUUGGGCGUAAAGAGCGUGUAGGCGGCCAGGUAGGUCUGCUGUGAAAACUCGAGGCUUAACCUCGAGAUGUCGGCGGAAACCAUCUGGCUAGAGUCCGGAAGAGGAGAGCGGAAUUCCUGGUGUAGCGGUGAAAUGCGCAGAUAUCAGGAAGAACACCCGUGGCGAAGGCGGCUCUCUGGGACGGUACUGACGCUGAGACGCGAAAGCGUGGGGAGCGAACAGGAUUAGAAACCCGCGUAGUCC
rnacentral:rRNA from 1 species